AUCGACGGGAUGGUUUGGCACCUCGAUGUCGGCUCGUCGCAUCCUGGGGCUGGAGUCGGUCCCAAGGGUUGGGCUGUUCGCCCAUUAAAGCGGUACGCGAGCUGGGUUUAGAACGUCGUGAGACAGUUCGGUCCCUAUCCGCUGUGCGCGUAGGAAUAUUGAGAAGGGCUGUCCCUAGUACGAGAGGACCGGGACGGACGAACCUCUGGUGUGCCAGUUGUCCUGCCAAGGGCAUGGCUGGUUGGCUACGUUCGGAAAGGAUAACCGCUGAAAGCAUCUAAGCGGGAAGCCUGCUUCGAGAUGAGUAUUCCCACCAACUUGAUUGGUUAAGGCUCCCAGUAGACGACUGGGUUGAUAGGCCAGAUGUGGAAGCCCGGUAACGGGUGGAGCUGACUGGUACUAAUAGGCCGAGGGCUUGUCCUCAGUUG
rnacentral:rRNA from 1 species